CCUACGGGUGGCAGCAGUGAGGAAUAUUGGUCCAUGGUCGGGAGACUGAACCAGCCAAGCCGCGUGAGGGAUGAAGGUACAGAGUAUCGUAAACCUCUUUUGUCAGGGAACAAAGGCGGGGACGUGUCCCCGGAUGAGUGUACCUGAAGAAAAAGCAUCGACUAACUCCGUGCCAGCAGCCGCGGUAAUACGGAGGAUGCGAGCGUUAUCCGGAUUUAUUGGGUUUAAAGGGUGCGCAGGCGGUCUGUUAAGUCAGAGGUAAAAGCCCGGGGCUCAACCCCGGCCCGCCGUUGAAACUGGCAGUCUCGAGUUGGAGAGAAGUAUGCGGAAUGCGCGGUGUAGCGGUGAAAUGCAUAGAUAUCGCGCAGAACUCCGAUUGCGAAGGCAGUAUGCCGGCUCCACACUGACGCUGAGGCUCGAAAGCGCGGGUAUCGAACAGGAUUAGAUACCCCAGUAGUC
rnacentral:rRNA from 1 species